rnacentral:tRNA from 1 species
GGGUGGAUGGCUCAGUGGUUUAGAGUCUACGGCUCGUAACCGAAAGGUUUCGAGUUCGACCCUCGCAGGAGUCA